rnacentral:pre_miRNA from 15 species
GAGCAUAGGCCUGCGAAUGGCACUGGAAGAAUUCACGGGGUUCUUCGCACUCCCGUGGACUUUGAGUGCCAUCCUCAGAGCCCUUGUCC